rnacentral:lncRNA from 1 species
CUCUUAUGAAGAAACCGUUCUUACGGAAGCCCAGAUGAGACAACUUGAGACAGGAUUCAGAAACGCUGAUUUUAGUAACCUUAACCCUCGGCCCUUGGUGGGAACUUCGGCUCUGUGGGAAUUAGUCUUUGGGGGACUGAUGGUCAUGCUGAAAUCUUAUUGCGUAGGAAAUUAAGUACAACAAAGAAGACCCGUCGUGAGAGGAGAGUGCGGAAGAAAUGCGAAGUCUACGGGAGGUGGCAGCUGCAGAAGCUUGGUGUUGGAUUUGGCGUUAGGAGACCGGGAGGAGCCCAGCUUCCGGUCCAGACGGUUAUCUUGUUGACUUGCACGACUGCAAACGCCCUGAGCUGCUUUUGCAGUCUGAAACAUCAGCGAUCCCAUCAAAAUAUUCUGUUUCUUGGGAUAUAAGAAACAUCCCAAGGCGGGCUGUAGAGCGAGAGAUUUGGACUCGAUUUAAAUACAGACAAAAUAGUAUGCAUUUACUAACACCACAUCUCACCCCCACGAAACUUGGUAAGGGCAGCAACAGAACUUUAUCUGCCAUAUGCACUCCUGUAUUCCUAUUACCAAAUAGUGCCAGGGACUAAGUGAAUAUUUGUCCAAUGAAUGAGUUUUAAGUAGGAAACGUUUGCAUAGAAUCAUUUUGUUUCUUUUGGAGUUCAAAUCUUCGGAUAUUUUACCCUUCCCAAUCCAAAGAAAAGUCUCUGAGUGAAGAGAUGGGAACAAAAUGUAAGUUAAAUAUGUUGCUUUAACAACUGUUUAUUGAACUCGUGCUAUAGACUAUAGAAUGAUGAGCAAAACCAGGCACAGUUUCGGCCCUGGAAGAGGAAAGGCAGGCAUAUAUUUAUCAAGUGGUCCAUAAAGCUGCUCUGGAGCCAAAAUAUUGCAGUCACAUCUCGGCAGCGACCUGCCCUCAGGUGGCAUUUUCAAGUCAUGGAGAAGGCGGAGAGAGAAGCAAUCAGCAGCCACCCACUGCAGCUGGAGACCCCAGAACUUGGUGUCUGCCUCCCAUGGCACUGGGAAGGCUGGAGGCAGGAAGAGGAAGACAGAGCUCUUACCAGGGGGAGGCAGAGAUGGCACAGCAAGAGACAUGCCCCCAGAAUGCCACCAAUGCCCCAGGACAGGCCCACCCAUGGGACCAGGUUAUCAGGGGCCCUGUGGGGAUGGGGUGGAAUCUGAGGGGUCAGCCUUCUUCCCCAGGCUGGGAGUGGGUGAGACGAGACUGGGGCCUCUAUGUCUGAGUGCCCCCCAAACCCAGCAGUCAUGUCGCGAGGAAACGAAAUCACGUUACUUCUUCCAGCUGAUGUUCCACUUGUUUCUUCUGUUGUUUCUGUGGGGAGAGUCAAAUAAGGUGAUGGAGGGUGGCCCCCUCAACUCUAUUCCCCAGACCAGGAAGCGGUAGGCAGGGGCCAGGAAUGGAUUUUAAAGGCAAAGUUCUCAGACAUAAUGGGAACACGAACCGGUAAACUCUCCUCAAGCUCCCAAGGACAGAGGAUUUGGGUCUUUGUUGGCUUUUGCCCACAGCCACAGAACUCAGUCUGAAUCUGGAAUCUCUUGAGAGGACAGCAACAUAAACCUCUAGAGAUGGAGUUUCAGAAAGGCCCCUCCUUCUGGCAGCUUGUGAUUUAGAAAAGUGGGUUCAUUCAAUAAACACUUACUGAGCACCUAUGGGCCAGGUACGGUUCUUCACAGCAGAUAUAGGAUGGAAAAGGACAGACAGGAGCCCUUAGCCCUGAGGUUUCCAUUCCCGGGGGCCUUUAAAUCUCAGACUCGAGAGCUAACAGAGACCUUUGAUACUCACUACCUCCUCUGGAAACACGAGCCCAAAAAGGAGAGGUGGCUUGUCCAGAAUCAAAGAGCAAAUUAGGGACUGAGUCAUGGCAGAAAUACGGGGCCCUUGACAACCAGUCAGGCUAGCACUUCCCCAAGAGGCAACAACCCCAGGGCGUGUGUAGCAAGGACUCGAGCAGGGGUGUCUGGAGAGGAGAGAGUCGGCAAAGAGGGCAGCAAAAGAAGAGCCAUGCUGCAU